CAGAGUUAAGUUUUUUUUGUCGGCAAUUGUGUGCCAAAGAAAUUGUUCCAAAACGGAUGCGUGAACUUGAGGAGGAGGUUCCUGUUCUAUUAUGCAAGCUUGAGAAAAUGUUCCCACCAGGCUUCUUAAAUGUAAUGCAACACCUGAUUGUGCAUCUUCCAUAUGAGGCAAGGGUUGCCGGCCCUGUGGCAUAUCGUUGGAUGUAUGUUUUUGAGAGGGCAAUGCACUAUCUUCGUUUAAAAGUGCGAAACAAGGCAAGAGUGGAGGGUUCAAUCGUUGAAGCUUGUAUUGUGCAGGAGAUCACGAAUUGUGUUUCUCUUUACUUUAGAGAUCAUGUUCGUACUAUAUGGAAGAAGAAUCCUCGGUAUAAUAACGGAGGAACACGCGUGCAUAAUGAUGGUUGUACCUUAGAUGUGUUUCAGCAUGAAGGAAACCUGCAUGGAAGGCGUACUGCCCGAGAACUAUCGUGUGAAGAGUUGAAUGCAGCAAGGCUGUACAUUCUGACUAACUGCUCUGCUGUUGAUAGAUUUCGAGAGUAAGUGAUGAAUAGUUUGCACUUCUACAAUUAUAGUUUGCAACAUAUUUAUUAUCAUACGCGGAUUUGCAGAGCGUUUGAGGAUGAAAAAUAUGCGAAGCAUCCCAACUUGACAACAGAGGGCCUUGAGAAAAUGAUGGCAUCUGAAUUCGUGGAAUGGUUCGAGAUUGCUGAUGGGCCGCUUGAGUCAUAGGCCUUUGUCAAUGCCUAGGACGAAUCGAUCUUCUUCUAGUGCCUCCGUAGGAAACAAUGGAUCAACUCAGUCAACUGCAAAGGCUAGAAAAGCUAGAACUCCAAGAACUAGGACUUCAGCCGGUCUCAGACUAGAGGAAAUUGAUCGACCGCUUAUAG